AUUGAACGCUGGCGGAAUGCUUUACACGUGCAAGUCGAACGGCAGCACGGACUUCGGUCUGGUGGCGAGUGGCGAAUGGGUGAGUAAUGUAUCGGAACGUGCCCAGUCGUGGGGGAUAACGUAGUGAAAAUUACGCUAAUACCGCAUACGAUCUAUGGAUGAAAGCGGGGGAUCGCAAGACCUCGCGCGAUUGGAGCGGCCGAUAUCAGAUUAGGUAGUUGGGGGGGUAAAGGCCCACCAAGCCAACGAUGUGUAGCUGGUCUGAGAGGACGACCAGCCGCAUUGGAACGGGGACACGGUCCAGACUCCUACGGGAGGCAGCAGUGGGGAAUUUUGGACAAUGGGCGAAAGCCUGAUCCAGCCAUUCCGCGUGCAGGAUGAAGGCCCUCGGGUUGUAAACUGCUUUUGUACAGAACGAAAAGGUUUCUACUAAUACUAGGAGCUCAUGACGGUACUGUAAGAAUAAGCACCGGCUAACUACGUGCCAGCAGCCGCCGUAA
rnacentral:rRNA from 1 species